rnacentral:rRNA from 1 species
UACGGGAGAAAGCAGGGGACCUUCGGGCCUUGCGCUAUCAGAUGAGCCUAGGUCGGAUUAGCUAGUUGGUGAGGUAAUGGCUCACCAAGGCGACGAUCCGUAACUGGUCUGAGAGGAUGAUCAGUCACACUGGAACUGAGACACGGUCCAGACUCCUACGGGAGGCAGCAGUGGGGAAUAUUGGACAAUGGGCGAAAGCCUGAUCCAGCCAUGCCGCGUGUGUGAAGAAGGUCUUCGGAUUGUAAAGCACUUUAAGUUGGGAGGAAGGGCCGUAACUUAAUACGUUGCUGUUUUACCGUU